rnacentral:pre_miRNA from 1 species
UUUAUUUGAAGUCAUUGACUUUUGAGUCUACGUUUGACUAAUCGUCUUAUUCAAAAAUUUUAUGUAAUUAUUAAUUAUUUUGUUAUGAUUUAAUUUAUUACUAAAUACACUGUAAGUGCGACUUAUAAUUUUAUGUAUUUGUACAAAAUUUUGAAUAAGACGAAUGGUCAAACGUAGACUUAAAAAGUCA